rnacentral:misc_RNA from 1 species
GAUGAAGAACGUAGCGAAAUGCGAUAACUAAUGUGAAUUGCAGAAUUCAGUGAAUCAUCGAGUCUUUGAACGCACAUUGCGCCCCCUGGUAUUCCGGGGGGCAUGCCUGUCCGAGCGUCAUUGCUGCCCUCAAGCACGGCUUGUGUGUUGGGCUCCGUCCCCCCGGGGACGGGCCCGAAAGGCAGCGGCGGCACCGAGUCCCGUCCUCGAGCGUAUGGGGCUUUGUCACCCGCUCUGUAGGCCCGGCCGGCGCCAGCCGACAACCCAUCAUCCUUUUCAGGUUGACCUCGGAUCAGGUAGGGAUACCCGCUGAACUUAAGCAUAUCAAUAAGCGGAGGA